AGGAGUCGCAAGAAGACAGAAAGUGCCUCCAGUGCUCCUGAGCACAAUGUGCUCGUGAUGCCAGAGAGGGAGCAAGAACCAGACUGGAAAACAGGAGAUCGUAACGUCAGUGGAAACGUCAGUGGAAACCGCAACAGGAACCGCUGCUGCAGCAGCAGCAAGUCGGAAGCACCAAAGCCUGGACAGAGUGUUGAGAGCCCCUUCAAACAGAACGCAGGUCUGUGUCCUGC